UACGUAGGGUGCGAGCGUUGUCCGGAAUUACUGGGCGUAAAGGGCUCGUAGGCGGCCAACUAAGUCAGACGUGAAAUCCCUCGGCUUAACCGGGGAACUGCGUCUGAUACUGGAUGGCUAGAGGUUGGGAGAGGGAUGCGGAACUCCAGGUGUAGCGGUGAAAUGCGUAGAUAUCAGGAGGAACACCGGUGGCGAAGGCGGAUCUCUGGGCCUUACCUGACGCUCAGGUGCGAAAGCUAGGGGAGCGAACAGG
rnacentral:rRNA from 1 species